rnacentral:rRNA from 1 species
GAUGAACGCUGGCGGCGUGCCUAAUACAUGCAAGUCGAGCGAACAGACGAGGAGCUUGCUCCUCUGACGUUAGCGGCGGACGGGUGAGUAACACGUGGAUAACCUACCUAUAAGACUGGGAUAACUUCGGGAAACCGGAGCUAAUACCGGAUAAUAUAUUGAACCGCAUGGUUCAAUAGUGAAAGACGGUUUUGCUGUCACUUAUAGAUGGAUCCGCGCCGCAUUAGCUAGUUGGUAAGGUAACGGCUUACCAAGGCAACGAUGCGUAGCCGACCUGAGAGGGUGAUCGGCCACACUGGAACUGAGACACGGUCCAGACUCCUACGGAAGGCAGCAGUAGGGAAUCUUCCGCAAUGGGCGAAAGCCUGACGGAGCAACGCCGCGUGAGUGAUGAAGGUCUUCGGAUCGUAAAACUCUGUUAUUAGGGAAGAACAAAUGUGUAAGUAGCUAUGCACGUCUUGACGGUACCUAAUCAGAAAGCCACGGCUAACUGCGUG